AUGCUUUUCUACUUCUGGUAUUUUUUCAAAUAUUUAAAAUUAUAAGAGUCAUUCUCAGUUUGGGGUGAUACUAAAACAAGUAGCAAGAUAGAUUUGCCCAUGAACUGUGGUUUACCAUCCCCUGUUAGAAAGAUUGAUUACAGUAUUUUAAAAGAAAGCAAUAUUAUAAAUAUCAUGAAUGAAAGGGAAUAUGCUAAUACAGACUUUAUAGUCUUUAAAACAAUAGUAAAUAGUAUUUAAAACUUUAUACUAAUAUGUUUGACAACUUAUUUGAACUAGAAAAAUUUAUUGAAAAUACAAAUUACAAAACUGACAAUAUAAUCAAUAGAAAUUCUGAACACCUCUAAUUAACAAAAUGUAUUUUAUUCAAAAUUUAAUCUUUCCUGCUAAUAAAUCUCAGACUCAGAGACUUUCACUGGUGAAUUCUCAAAAAAAAAUUGUAGAAAGAAAGGAUGCCAAUCUUAUAUAAAUUAUUUCAGAAAAGACUAAAAUUAUUUCAGAAAACAGAUAAGGAGUGAAUACAUCCAGACUUAUUUUAUUUUAUGAUACCUCUAAUACUCUGAUACCCAAACCAGACAAAGAUAUUUCAAGGAAAAAAUAUAUAUUAGUAUCUUUCAUGAACAUACAUAAAACACCUUUAACAAAACAUUUACAUAUUAACUUCAGGAAUAUAAAGAUGAUGAUGCAUCAAAAGAAAAGCACUUGACCAAAUCAAUAUCCAGUGAAGUUACAAAUUUUUGGCUAACUGUAAAUUAGAAGAAAUUUCCCUAUUCUGAUUAAAGAAUUAAUGGAAAUUUUAUAGGUAAUAUACUUAAUGGAGAAAAACAGUUUUUUUCUUUAAGAAUGGGGCCAAGACAAAAAUGUCAAGAUAUCUGUUGGCAGUCUUAGUAAUUUCAGUAAGCCAAAAAUAAGUAAAAGACAUAUAAUUGAAAAAGCCAGUUUUGACAGGUUGAUUUUAAAAUUUAAAUGAGAAUGCAAAUGAAAUAGAAAACCAAUUGAAAAUGAACAAAGUUGAAGGAGUCAUAAUACUGGAUUUCAAUAUUUUUACUAAUGCUACCAUAAUCAAGAUAUGUGUGUUAUUUGUGAAAAGAUUAAUAUAGAUUCAUUUAAAAAUAUAGAAUCUAGAAAUAAAUAAACAUGUAUAUGGUAAAUUGAUUUUUGAGAAAUGAAUACAAUGAGGAAAGGGCAUUCUUAAAAAAAUAGUGCUGGAACAUCCAGAUAGUAAUAUUUAAAAAAUGAACUCAGUCCUUACCUCAUAUUAUUUAGAAAAAUUAACUGAAAAGGAACAUACAUAAUGAUAAAUUAAACUUUUAUAAAAGUAAAAAGUUUGUUUUUAAAGUAUACCAUUAUAAAGUAAAAAGACAAACCAUGAAAGGAGAGAAACUAUUUAUGACGCAUUUAUCUGUCAAAGAACAUGUUUCAAGAAUAUGUAAAGCAUUCUUAAAAUUCUUAAAAUAUUUAAAGGUUUAAACAUAGCAAUCUAAUAAAAAGUAGACAAAAUAUUUAAAUGAUAAUUUCACAAAAAAGAUAUAUAAAUGGCUAGAAAGAAAAUGAAAAAUAUUCAGCAUCAUUAGUCGUUGGGACAAUGCAAAUUAAAACCACAAUGAAAUAUCAUUAUAUACACAUUAACAUAGCUGUAAUUAAAAAUCUUAAGAGUAACAUUGGUGAGAAUAUGGAGAAACUGGAACCCUCCUCAUAUACUUCUGGUAAAAAUGGGAAGUGACACAAGCACUUUUAGAUAACUAUUUGUUAGUUUCCUUGUAAAGUUAAAUAUGUAAUCACCACAGUAUCUUGUAUUUUCACAGUAAAAGCAUCUGAACACUCAAAGAUUUAUACCUCAAUGUUCAUAGCAGCUUUAUUUUAAAUUGGUACAAAGUGGAAAACACUCAGAUUUCUAUCACUGUGUAAAUGGAUUAUCAAAAUGAUAGUAUACUCAAGAAAUGGCACACCACUUGGCAAUAAAAAUGCACCAGGCAUACACACAACAUGUAUGAGAAUCAAAAAUGGUAUCCUCAUUGAAAGAUGCCAGACAGAAAAAAGUUCACACAACUAUAGUUCCAUUUACAUGAACUUCUAUAAAAUGCAGACAAAUCUACAGUGACAGAAAGUAGAUCAUUCCAUUUGAGGGUUAUAGGGUGGAAGAAGAAACUGAUUAUAUAAGGGCAUGAGAAAAUUCUUUUGGGGAGAGAAAACCUUCUGUAUCUUGAUUGCAGGCUUUAAAAUGUAUGUAACUAUCAAAAUUCAUUGAAUUGCACAAUUUAAAUGAGUUUAGUUUAUUGUACAAUAUUAUACAGCAAUAAGGUUAAUUGGAUAUAAUGUUUGAGAAAAGAUCUGAAUGUCUUAUAUAGGGCAAUAUAAAUAUACUGAUAUAUUCAUAUACAUGUUUGAUCAUUAUUUGGCCAUUAGAAUUGUUUCUAGAAAAGUUUAUUCGUUUAUAAUUUUAAACAAAAAAUAGAAUUAUUCAACAAAAUACAUAAAGAAAAUGUUAUUUACCUCCUCUCAGAGAAAAGAUAAAGAAGGAUAAAAUAAUAAUAAAUGUAAAUAUCCUGAAGAAGGCCCAUAAGGAAAAUGGUUAAAUAUUGAUUCAUUGUUUCAAUGGAAUACUCAUAACCGGGCAACUUCAAAUGAGGAAACUGACGCCCCAACGUUAAGUAACUCACACAAAGUAAUGUAUUUGGCAAAUGAUGGCCUUCGAAUUGCUAUUGCUUUUGUCUGAAUAUUGCGUUCUUUACCUAAACAAAAGAUGUAGUUGCUUACCAUAUGCAAAGUCUACCUGGAAAGAGGAAUAACAUCAUACUAUAAUUGAAAGAAAAUUUCUUUAUUUUGUAAAUGAGAAAAGAGCUACAGAAAGGGGUGCAAUCAGACCCUGACUGUAAUUUUAGUUUAAACCUUUUUUUCAUUUAUUUUGAAACUGACUUAAUGAAAAAAAAAUAGAAAGCUCUGUGCAUGUGUAUGGGAGAAAGAGCAAGAGAGAGAUAGCUAUGAAAGAUGAGUGUUCUUAUGUCCAGGGAGAUGGUCUGACUUCCUUAAAAGCUCAUCAGAAGAAAAGUUGGGAGUGAGAGAUGAGGCAUUUAGGUCCCCAGAGAUGGAAUAUCGCUCUGUAGCCCAGGCAAGAGUGCAAUGGUGUGAUCUUGGUUCACUGCAAUCUACGCCUCCCAGGUUCAAGUGAUUCUCCUGCCUCAGCCUCCCAAGUAGCUGGGAUCACAGGUGGAUUACACACCUGGCUAUCAGAUGUGCCCUGAUUCCCCUUCACCUUCAAUUGUAUGUUUCCUGAGGAUUACACAGCCAUGCAGAACUACAGAGUCCCGCUCUGUCACCAGGCUGGAGUGCAGUGGUGUGAUCUCAGCUCAGUGCAACCUUGGCCUCCUGGGUGCAAGUGAUUCUCCUGCCUUAGCCACCCAAACAGCUGGGACUACAGGCAGAGGAGCUCAUCCCUGUGGAUAUCUCCACCACCAGUCCACAGGAUUCUGACAGGUUUUGAGACAAGCAGCAUAGGCUUCUGUUCUGCCGUCUUGCUCCACCCUGCCAAGAUAUUAUUUCAGAAGAGUCAAAGACUAAAAGGCGGGCCACGCGCGGUGGCUCAAGCCUAUAAUCCCAGCACUUUGGGAGGCCGAGGCGGGUGGAUCACGAGGUCAAGAGAUCGAGACCAUCCUGGUCAACAUGGUGAGACACCAUCUCUACUAAAAAUACAAAAAAUUAGCUGGGCACUUUACGAAAGAAGACAUAUAUGAGGCCAACAAUCAUAUGAAAAAAUGCUCAUCAUCACUGGUCAUCAGAGAGAUGCAAAUCAAAACCAUAUUGAGAUACCAUCUCACGCCAGUUAGAAUGGCGAUCAUUAAAAAAUCUGGAGACAACAGAUGCUGAAGAGGAUGUGGAGAAAAAGGAACACUUUUACACUGUUGGUGGGAGUGUAAAUUAGUUCAACCAUUGUGGAAGACAGUGUGGCGAUUCCUCAAGGUCUUAGAAAUAGAAAUUCCAUUUGACCCAGCAAUCCCAUUACUGGGUAUAUAUCCAAAGGACUAUAAAUCGUUCUACUGUAAGGACACAUGCACACGAAUGUUCAUUGCAGCACUGUUUACAAUAGCAAAGACCUGGAAUCAACCCAAAUGCCCAUUGAUGAUAGACUGGAUUGGGAAAAUGUGGCACAUAUACACCAUGGAAUAUUAUGCAGCAAUCAGAAAUGAUGAGUUCGUGUCAUUUGUAGGGACAUGGAUGAAUCUGGAGAACAUCAUCCUCAGCAAACUGACACAAGAACAGAAAAUGAAACACCACAUAUUCUCACUCAUAGGCGGGUGAUGAAAAAUGAGAACACAUGGACACAGGGAGGGGAGUACUAAACACUGGGGUCUA